rnacentral:rRNA from 1 species
AUGUGGCAGAAAAGUCAACUACUCCACACGUCCAUCUUCUUUCUCCUUCCCCCUCUCUCUCCCAGAGCCGCCUUCUUCUCACCGGAGCGCAACCUCUUCCCAGGCACCGCCGCGCACCACCCGAGGAGCAACCUCCCCAACUCCUGCGCCUUCGUCCUCGCGCCGCCGCGCGCGUACCUCCCCUCGCCGCCACCGCCCACCGGGUGCGGGCGCCGCUCCUCUGCCUCCCUUCCCCAGAACGGAUCCGCCUCCACGACGGCUGGAUCCGCCUCCCCCGCGGCAUGGGGGUCAACUUCGACCUCCCCCGUCGACCGUCACGGGCGGGAUCCGUGCGCCGACAAGCUACAUAUCCUGCCCAGCCUCUCCUACCCCACCCGCAUCGGCGAGCAGAGGGGAAGGGCCCCCACCACGCGCGCAGUUGCUCUUGAAGGUCAACCGUCGCCGGCUACAUCGCCCCGCCGCCGCCCUAUGCUGCCUCCAGCCGGCACCCAGCCGCCUCCUCAUGCUCCUGUAGCGUUUGCCGCCCGGUGGCCUCGGAGGAGAAGCCCGCGCAGCCGCACGCGAAGCCGAGGUUCUGCGAGCUCUAGGCCCUGCUGCCGUCGCCCUCGUCGGCCUCCCUUCAAGCUGGAGCUUGUGGUCAGCGGCAAGGAGCAGCAGCACCACAGAUCCGGCCUUUCUCUCGCCACCGGCGACGACCGCCGAGGAGUCGGAGCUCAGCAACACCCUCCUCCCAUCCGCUCGAACGGGACAUCGAGGCUCACGCCCGUCACGAGGCUCGGCCGCAGUGUGCAAGCACCACGACGAGCGGCUCCUGCAGCGCGAGCACCUUGGCGAAGCACCUCGGGCAGGGGAGGCGCGCACCUCGCUGGCGUCCUUGGUGGUCGUUCUGGGCACGCGAGGAUGGGCGUCUCGUGGGCCAUCUUCCUCGGUCAGGAGUAG